GUGUCAGCAGCCGCGGUAAUACGGAGGGGGUUAGCGUUGUUCGGAAUUACUGGGCGUAAAGCGCACGUAGGCGGAUUGGAAAGUUGGGGGUGAAAUCCCGGGGCUCAACCCCGGAACUGCCUCCAAAACUGCAAAGCUAGAGGAUGCGAGAGGUGAGCGGAAUUCCGAGUGUAGAGGUGAAAUUCGUAGAUAUUCGGAAGAACACCAGUGGCGAAGGCGGCUCACUGGCGCAUUUCUGACGCUGAGGCGCGAAAGCGUGGGGAGCAAACAGGAUUAGAUACCCUGGUAGUCCACGCCGUAAACGAUGAGGGCUAGUUGUCGGGCGGCUUGCCGUUCGGUGACGCAGCUAACGCAUUAAGCCCUCCGCCUGGGGAGUACGGUCGCAAGAUUAAAACUCAAAGGAAUUGACGGGG
rnacentral:rRNA from 1 species